GAGUUACAAAAGUAUUUGUUAGACGAAUAACCUGGAAAGGUUAAUCAGAGAAGGUAAUAAUCCUGUAGUCGAAAACGAAUACCCUCUUGAGUGGAUCCUGAGUACGACGGAGCACGUGAAAUUCCGUCGGAAUCUGGGAGGACCAUCUCCUAAGGCUAAAUACUCUCUAGUGACCGAUAGUGAACCAGUACCGUGAGGGAAAGGUGAAAAGUACCCCGGAAGGGGAGUGAAAGAGAACUUGAAACCGUGUGCUUA
rnacentral:rRNA from 1 species